rnacentral:rRNA from 1 species
UCAUGGCUCAGGACGAACGCUGGCGGCGUGCCUAAUACAUGCAAGUCGAGCGGACAGAUGGGAGCUUGCUCCCUGAUGUUAGCGGCGGACGGGUGAGUAACACGUGGGUAACCUGCCUGUAAGACUGGGAUAACUCCGGGAAACCGGGGCUAAUACCGGAUGGUUGUUUGAACCGCAUGGUUCAGACAUAAAAGGUGGCUUCGGCUACCACUUACAGAUGGACCCGCGGCGCAUUAGCUAGUUGGUGAGGUAACGGCUCACCAAGGCAACGAUGCGUAGCCGACCUGAGAGGGUGAUCGGCCACACUGGGACUGAGACACGGCCCAGACUCCUACGGGAGGCAGCAGUAGGGAAUCUUCCGCAAUGGACGAAAGUCUGACGGAGCAACGCCGCGUGAGUGAUGAAGGUUUUCGGAUCGUAAAGCUCUGUUGUUAGGGAAGAACAAGUGCCGUUCAAAUAGGGCGGCACCUUGACGGUACCUAACCAGAAAGCCACGGCUAACUACGUGCCAGCAGCCGCGGUAAUACGUAGGUGGCAAGCGUUGUCCGGAAUUAUUGGGCGUAAAGGGCUCGCAGGCGGUUUCUUAAGUCUGAUGUGAAAGCCCCCGGCUCAACCGGGGAGGGUCAUUGGAAACUGGGGAACUUGAGUGCAGAAGAGGAGAGUGGAAUUCCACGUGUAGCGGUGAAAUGCGUAGAGAUGUGGAGGAACACCAGUGGCGAAGGCGACUCUCUGGUCUGUAACUGACGCUGAGGAGCGAAAGCGUGGGGAGCGAACAGGAUUAGAUACCCUGGUAGUCCACGCCGUAAACGAUGAGUGCUAAGUGUUAGGGGGUUUCCGCCCCUUAGUGCUGCAGCUAACGCAUUAAGCACUCCGCCUGGGGAGUACGGUCGCAAGACUGAAACUCAAAGGAAUUGACGGGGGCCCGCACAAGCGGUGGAGCAUGUGGUUUAAUUCGAAGCAACGCGAAGAACCUUACCAGGUCUUGACAUCCUCUGACAAUCCUAGAGAUAGGACGUCCCCUUCGGGGGCAGAGUGACAGGUGGUGCAUGGUUGUCGUCAGCUCGUGUCGUGAGAUGUUGGGUUAAGUCCCGCAACGAGCGCAACCCUUGAUCUUAGUUGCCAGCAUUCAGUUGGGCACUCUAAGGUGACUGCCGGUGACAAACCGGAGGAAGGUGGGGAUGACGUCAAAUCAUCAUGCCCCUUAUGACCUGGGCUACACACGUGCUACAAUGGACAGAACAAANGGCAGCCAAACCGCGAGGUUAAAGCAAUCCCACAAAUCUGUUCUCAGUUCGGAUCGCAGUCUGCCACUCGACUGCGUGAAGCUGGAAUCGCUAGUAAUCGCGGAUCAACAUGCCGCGGUGAAUACGUUCCCGGGCCCUGUACACCC